AGCAUGAAAGAAAAGAGUUGUCAUUCAUUUGGUCCAUCAUUGCCGUGGCUACACCAAAAGGAAAGAGAAAAAGCUUUUGCUUUCUUAUCUUCCAUUUCCACCAUAGUUCAUCAAAAAGAUAAAAUCUCCAGCCACACAAAAUCUGUUCUUAAGUGUAAUAACCAGCAAGGAAACCAUAGAAAGGGAGGAAAGAAGGAGAGAAGUUAAGGUGCUUUAGUGAACAAACUCAAAGGGAGGAAGGUACAUCAAAGGGGAAAGGCAAGGAAAGAGAGUAACUAAGGUGUACCUAAAGCUUUUGAAAAGAUUGUGCAAAAGGUAAUAGAUAGAGGAAGCAACAGUUAGGAGGUCUGGUUCUGCAUCAGCACAGAGACAUCAUCAUAACCAGUCAGUCACAAGAUUUGUACAGAGGUUGUUUAUGGUUGGCAUGUACAUUAAUAGUCUACCAAGAGUCUGUAAAUGAGUAUUGUAAAUA